rnacentral:lncRNA from 1 species
AGAAACUAAAAAAGAGACUAUAGCAGAACAACUCAUGGGACCCCUAGCUUCUUCGGAUAGAAUCAUCCUAAGCAUAGGGGAGGAGAAAGAAUCUAGUCAAAGCAAAACAACCUUGGUGGCUAAUGUUUGCCAAAAAAUCAGCACUUUUAUUGGCUCCCUAUAGAUAUGAGAAAUAAAGGGUUGUCAAACUCUCAUCAAAAGCUGAUUCAAAAUACCCUUGAACAAUGGCUUUAACAAGGCUGAUAUGAAAGAACCACGGGGAACAAUGUGAACCACCGCAAGCGAGUCCAUCUCAAAGAUCACAUGAUGAAGGUUGAGCUCCCAGGAAACAUGAAUACGC